UACGUAGGGUGCGAGCGUUUGUCCGGAAUUAUUGGGCGUAAAGAGCUCGUAGGCGGUUUGUCGCGUCUGCUGUGAAAACUCAGGGCUUAACCCUGAGCCUGCAGUGGGUACGGGCAGACUAGAGUGUGGUAGGGGAGAUCGGAAUUCCUGGUGUAGCGGUGGAAUGCGCAGAUAUCAGGAGGAACACCGGGUGGCGAAGGCGGAUCUCUGGGCCAUAACUGACGCUGAGGAGCGAAAGCAUGGGGAGCGAACAGGA
rnacentral:rRNA from 1 species